rnacentral:misc_RNA from 1 species
GGAAGUAAAGGUCGUAACAAGGUUUCCGUAGGUGAACCUGCGGAAGGAUCAUUCAUAAUCAGUGUUUUAUGGCACUUUUUUAAAUCCAUAUCCACCUUGUGUGCAAUGUCAGGGUUGGUCUCUUUUGAUCAGCCCCAAACAUCAACUAUUAUCUCAACUCUUUGUCUGAAAAAUAUUAUGAAUAAAACAAUUCAAAAUACAACUUUUAACAACGGAUCUCUUGGCUCUC